ensembl:lncRNA
UGUGGAUAUUUUUUUUAGGUCUGCCACUCUUUUUGUCCUCCACUUGUCCAUGUCCUCAUUGACAUCAGCUUGUAAUAAAAGCAGAAAAUCACUUUGGUAUUCAAGUGAUCAGUGUAUUCUCUGUAAACCUUUGGCUCACAAUCAGUACUUUUAAUAUAUUUAUAUUAUUAAUUGAAACUUUGGCCAUGUUCAAAGUAUCCGGCUCAGUGUUUGCAGGCCAGUGUUGCCCUUAAAUAAACGGUUCUCAAACUGCAGAGCAGGACUCAAAGCAGAGGCACGGCUGGUGGGACAUGGAUCAUCUUCAUACAGCAACUGCUUUUAGAGGUUACACAGCUGAUCACCUGUCACUUUAACCCCAGCAACCUCUUCUGUCGCAGAAACCAUCUGCAUGUCCUCGUUUACCCUCUUCAUCAGUGGUCCCCAACCUUUUUUGCACCUCGGACUGGUUUAUUUCCAGCAAAAUUUUCACAGACCGGCCUUUAAGGUGUUGCGGAUAAAUUCAACAAAAUAAAACCAGUACCAAAAAAAAGAAAAAAAAAAAAGAAAAUGUAUUCAUAACAUGUGGGAAAAGACCCAGGGAAACAGAGUUAACAGUAAAAAUGAUUUAAUAAAAAUAACGCUAAAAACCGAUAAAAAAAAAUAUUUCACACCCUAGCCUCAACUCUUGCGGCGCGGUACCAAACCGGCCCGUGGCCCGGGGGUUGGGGACCGCUGGUCUACAUCCCCCUGGUAAAUCUACUAUCCACCUCGUCUUUAAAUUUGUCUUCAAUCUGCUCAGAGUCAUCCCCUCUCAUGUACUCAUUCUCAGUCUUUGCCCAUUUUGGUCACAAAUGACGAAAAUCUGAACAUCUUCAACUCAGCCACCUCCAUCUUCAGUCGCUCCACCGUCCCCCUCCACCCGGCCAGGACUCUCUUCAUUGUCCAUUGCUUCCGAUAGUUGACCUGGGGUAUUUAAACUCAUCCACUUUCACUGCCUCUGCUCCUUACAGCUUCACUGUUAC